rnacentral:rRNA from 1 species
AUACGAAGGGGGCUAGCGUUGUUCGGAAUCACUGGGCGUAAAGCGCACGUAGGCGGACCGUUAAGUCGGAGGUGAAAGCCUGGGGCUCAACCCCAGAACUGCCUUCGAUACUGGCGGUCUUGAGUAUGGUAGAGGUUGGUGGAACUCCGAGUGUAGAGGUGAAAUUCGUAGAUAUUCGGAAGAACACCAGUGGCGAAGGCGGCCAACUGGACCAUUACUGACGCUGAGGUGCGAAAGCGUGGGGAGC